GAUGAACGCUGGCGGCGUGCCUAAUACAUGCAAGUCGAACGCAUAGCGAAAGGUGCUUGCACCUUUCAAGUGAGUGGCGAACGGGUGAGUAACACGUGGACAACCUGCCUCAAGGCUGGGGAUAACAUUUGGAAACAGAUGCUAAUACCGAAUAAAACUUAGUGUCGCAUGACACAAAGUUAAAAGGCGCUUCGGCGUCACCUAGAGAUGGAUCCGCGGUGCAUUAGUUAGUUGGUGGGGUAAAGGCCUACCAAGACAAUGAUGCAUAGCCGAGUUGAGAGACUGAUCGGCCACAUUGGGACUAAGACACGGCCCAAACUCCUACGGGAGGCUGCAGUAGGGAAUCUGCCACAAUGGGCGAAAGCCUGAUGGAGCAACGCCGCGUGUGUGAUGAAGGCUUGCGGGUCGUAAAGCACUGUUGUAUGGGAAGAACAGCUAGAAUAGGAAAUGAUUUUAGUUGGACGGUACCAUACCAGAAAGGGACGGCUAAAUACGG
rnacentral:rRNA from 1 species